UGAACCGGAUGCUCUGUCAGCUUCCUCCUCCGCGUCCCCGGCGGCCUCCGCUUCCCUGGCGAAGCCGCAGGAACCCACGAGGGCACGGGCAGGGGCUCCCGGCGGUUAGCCUGGCAGGAGUAGGACGCCGGUAGGAGCUGGGCGCGCACGGUUACCGAGCGUGGAGGAGACACUGCCCUGCGGCGAUGGGUGCCAGGGGCGCUCCUUCACGCCGGAGGCAGGCGGGGCGGCGGCUGCGAUACCUGCCCACCGGGAGCUUCCCCUUUCUCCUCCUCCUGCUACUUCUCUGCAUCCAGCUCGGGGGAGGACAGAAGAAAAAAGAGAAUCUUUUAGCUGAAAAAGUAGAACAACUGAUGGAAUGGAGUUCCAGGCGCUCAAUCUUCCGAAUGAAUGGCGAUAAAUUCCGAAAAUUUAUAAAGGCACCACCUCGAAACUAUUCUAUGAUUGUUAUGUUCACUGCUCUUCAGCCUCAGCGGCAGUGUUCUGUGUGCAGGCAAGCUAAUGAAGAAUAUCAAAUACUGGCUAACUCCUGGCGCUACUCAUCUGCCUUUUGCAACAAACUCUUCUUCAGUAUGGUGGACUAUGAUGAGGGGACAGAUGUUUUUCAACAGCUCAACAUGAAUUCUGCUCCUACGUUCAUGCAUUUUCCUCCAAAAGGCAGACCCAAAAGAGCUGAUACUUUUGACCUUCAAAGAAUUGGAUUUGCAGCUGAACAACUCGCAAAGUGGAUUGCUGACAGAACGGAUGUUCAUAUUCGAGUCUUCAGACCACCCAACUAUUCUGGCACCAUCGCUUUGGCCCUGUUAGUGUCACUUGUUGGCGGUUUGCUCUAUUUAAGAAGGAACAACUUGGAAUUUAUCUAUAACAAGACUGGUUGGGCCAUGGUAUCUCUGUGUAUAGUCUUUGCUAUGACUUCUGGCCAGAUGUGGAAUCAUAUCCGUGGACCUCCAUAUGCUCAUAAGAACCCACACAAUGGACAAGUGAGCUACAUUCACGGAAGCAGCCAAGCUCAGUUCGUGGCAGAGUCACACAUUAUUCUGGUACUAAAUGCUGCUAUCACCAUGGGGAUGGUUCUUCUAAAUGAAGCAGCAACAUCCAAGGGAGAUGUUGGAAAAAGACGGAGCAUUUUAGUACUUGUAGGAAGGAACUCUGUAAGAGAAGAAAAGCACCAGAAGACUUAGAUCGGUCACUUUUGUUGUUUUCAUACCCCAAAUAGUACAUUUUCAUUGAGAAGAAUGUGGAAAAUAAUGAAUACAUUGUAUUUUGGAUUAUCUGGUUUGUUGUGCCUGUAUGUGCCAUGAACUAUUAAAAUUAAUUUGCCUAGUGGGAUUAGGCCUGGUGGUCUUCUUCUUCAGUUUUCUACUUUCAAUAUUUCGUUCCAAAUACCACGGCUAUCCUUAUAGCUUUUUAAUUAAAUGAAGCCAAGUGGGAUUUGCAUAAAGUGAAUGUUUACCAUGAAGAUAAAGUGCUCCUGAAAUAUAGUUUGAAUUCUUGAGUUCAUUUCCAUGUUGUGAUAAUUCUAGCUUAUUCUUGUAUAAUUUUUGAAAUGUGUUUUCCUAGUGAAUUUAAUUUAUAGAAGUGGAUGGUUAAAUUUCAUAUUAGCACUGGAAAGAACAAAGGAAAUACUGAAGUGUUUUCAAGCAUAUUAUAUUCAGUAUAUGCUAUAGGACUGAAAUAAAUGACAAUGUAAUUACGAAUUCAUGUGUUAGAACUGUUCACUCAUUAGUAAAGAAAACCACAAUGUUAGUAAGGGAAAACUAUGAAAUAUAUGUUAAAGAAUCCUUAAGGUUGUACAGAGAUAAGGUAUAUGCAUGAUAUGUCACGUACUGAAAAAUUAUACUCAUUGUCAUUUCAGUAUAAAGGAUGUGUGUAUGGUUACAGAUGUUUUGUUCUUAUUAAUCACAAUUAGAUAAAGAGACAGGGAGCUGGAUGAAUAGUGCCUGCAACUUGGAAGCCUAACCUGGGAAAUGGAGGUUUUCCCAGAACAUAAAUUUUAAAGCAAACAGGACUAAAUCAAUAAGCUUGAAAGCAUCAGGUGAUAGAAGCAACACACCAAAACUAGAAAUUAAUUCCUCUCUAACUUUAGAAGAGUAACCCAGGAAUCCAGACUUGUAACUGCAAAACUAACCCACGAUGGCCAUUUCCCCCGUGUGUUAUAUGGAAAAAGUUUGCCAUCAAAACUUCAUUCCCUGAAUCCAGAUGAAAAUUAUCCUAUACAUGAAUGAAUCAGUGAAGCUUUCUCGAAAACCAAGUAUAGGAGUCUAAUCAUUAUUAUGUUUGCAUAUCCUCUUUUAGUUUAUAAAGCACUUUUGCAAAUGUUAUCUUUUUUCUUUACAACAACCCUGUAAAUUAGACGGGAAAUAUAAAUUUUGUCUGAUUUACAGAAGUAUUAGAUGCUGAAAGCCAAAAAGAAUAGAAAAAUAGAGCUUCUAACUGGGCUUUCAAACUCUGAAACCUGAAUUUUUAUUUUGUGUGGUGCUGAAGAAUAAUUUAAAAAUGCAGUCAGUUCAAUAAAGUUUUUUCCUUUUUCUUAA